rnacentral:rRNA from 1 species
GAUGAACGCUGGCGGCGUGCCUAAUACAUGCAAGUCGAGCGAACAGACGAGGAGCUUGCUCCUUCGACGUUAGCGGCGGACGGGUGAGUAACACGUAGGUAACCUACCUAUAAGACUGGGAUAACUUCGGGAAACCGGAGCUAAUACCGGAUAAUAUUUCGAACCGCAUGGUUCGAUAGUGAAAGAUGGCUUUGCUAUCACUUAUAGAUGGACCCGCGCCGUAUUAGCUAGUUGGUAAGGUAACGGCUUACCAAGGCAACGAUACGUAGCCGACCUGAGAGGGUGAUCGGCCACACUGGAACUGAGACACGGUCCAGACUCCUACGGGAGGCAGCAGUAGGGAAUCUUCCGCAAUGGGCGAAAGCCUGACGGAGCAACGCCGCGUGAGUGAUGAAGGUCUUCGGAUCGUAAAACUCUGUUAUUAGGGAAGAACAAACGUGUAAGUAACUGUGCACGUCUUGACGGUACCUAAUCAGAAAGCCACGGCUAACUACGUG